AGUGGCGGACGGGUGAGUAACGCGUGAGAAUCUGCCUUGGGCUCGGGGACAACCACUGGAAACGGUGGCUAAUACCGGAUAAGCCGAUUGGUGAAAGAUUUAUUGCCCGAAGAGGAGCUCGCGUCUGAUUAGCUAGUUGGUGAGGUAAGAGCUCACCAAGGCAGCGAUCAGUAGCUGGUCUGAGAGGACGAUCAGCCACACUGGGACUGAGACACGGCCCAGACUCCUACGGGAGGCAGCAGUGGGGAAUUUUCCGCAAUGGGCGAAAGCCUGACGGAGCAAGACCGCGUGAGGGAGGAAGGCUCUUGGGUUGUAAACCUCUUUUCUCAGGGAAGAAGCUCUGACGGUACCUGAGGAAUCAGCCUCGGCUAACUCCGUGCCAGCAGCCGCGGUAAUACGGAGGAGGCAAGCGUUAUCCGGAAUUAUUGGGCGUAAAGCGUCCGCAGGUGGCAAUUCAAGUCUGCUGUCAAAGCACGGGGCUUAACUCCGUUAAGGCAGUGGAAACUGAAUAGCUAGAGUGCCGUAGGGGUAGAGGGAAUUCCCGGUGUAGCGGUGAAAUGCGUAGAGAUCGGGAAGAACAUCGGUGGCGAAAGCGCUCUACUGGACGGCAACUGACACUCAGGGACGAAAGCUAGGGGAGCGAAUGGGAUUAGAUACCCC
rnacentral:rRNA from 1 species